CUUUAUAAAUCUGAUGCUUCCAUAUCGACACCAGGU
rnacentral:rRNA from 1 species